AGCAGUAUGGUGUAUUAUCGCUGCACACGGGGUUUUCAUUUUCCAUGACUAUCAUAAUCAUGUAUCACCCCGAGGUCCUUGUUCGAGUCAAGGUACUGCUC